rnacentral:rRNA from 1 species
AUACGUAGGGGGCGAGCGUUGUCCGGAAUGAUUGGGCGUAAAGGGCGCGUAGGCGGCUUGUUAAGUCUGGAGUGGAAGUCCUCUUUUCAAGGGAGGAAUUGCUUUGGAAACUGGCGGGCUUGAGUGCAGGAGAGGUUAUCGGAAUUCCCGGUGUAGCGGUGAAAUGCGUAGAGAUCGGGAGGAACACCAGUGGCGAAGGCGGGUAACUGGACUGCAACUGACGCUGAGGCGCGAAAGUGUGGGGAGCAAACAGGAUUAGAUACCCUGGUAGUCCACACUGUAAACGAUGAGUGCUAGGUGUAGGAGGUAUCGACCCCUUCUGUGCCGGAGUAAACGCAAUAAGCACUCCGCCUGGGGAGUACGGUCGCAAGAUUAAAACUCAAAUGAAUUGACGGGG